rnacentral:lncRNA from 1 species
GCAUAAAGUAAAUCACCAGGUCUGCUUGCUUGCAGCAUUUUAUAUCUAUACAUGUUUAUUCCUUCAGCACUUAUCGAAGUGUUUUUUGCUUGCCGAAUCCUAUGUUCAGCACACCAAGGAUCCAGGGAUACCUACGACAAGAGCCUGCCCUCAACUCUGGUGGGAAGACAUAGAAAUGAACAGCUUAAGCCAAAGAGUGACGGUGGAAUUUCAGACGGAGUGAGGCUGUCAGGAAGAGAGACAGGAAUGGAGGGUUUGCCCUGCAUCUCCAUCCGUGACCGCCAGGCCCGAGGAGGAUGGUUAGGAGAUUGCCUAAGCACUGUGCCCUUGCAAGUAUCGGAUCAGAAGGAAACUGCAUGGCAAUUUGGUUUUUGUUUUUAA